rnacentral:sRNA from 1 species
CCCUAGCCCAGAUGGGAACGGCAUCCUUUUGUGGUCUCGUUUUAAAAAAAACGAGACCACAAAAGAUACAGUAGACAGCUGGAAAUAGC